GUUUCCGUAGUGUAGCGGUUAUCACGUCUGCUUCACACGCAGAAGGUCUCCGGUUCGAUCCCGGGCGGGAACA
rnacentral:tRNA from 1 species